rnacentral:RNase_P_RNA from 1 species
AUACUAACGCAAACGCUGCAUACUUGUUAUGUAGAGGAAAGUCCAUGCUCACACUAUUCCUAUAUGGAUAGUAAUGUUCGUGCAUAGGGAAAAAAUAACCUGUGAUAGUCUAAUAGACUAAUAGCUUCGAAAUAAUCUAAGUCGUAAGAUAUGAUUAAAUUAGAAAUAAAGUGCCAUAGUGACGAUAUUGUUUAGAAAUAGACAAGGUGGAACGCGGUAAACCUCACGAGUGAGAAACCCAAAUUUUGGUAGGGGAGUCUUCAUAGGGUAACUGAUUGAAGAAUGCAUUAGCAUAGAUAAAUGUUUGCACUCUUAAGAGUACAGAACAUGGCUUAUUUAG